AUGAAUGAAAUCAAACUCAUAGCCAGCCUCCAGCACAAGAAUCUGGUCAGGCUUCUUGGAUGCUGCAUCAAAGGCAAGGAGAGGAUACUUGUAUAUGAAUUUUUGCCAAGUGGUAGCUUGGAAGAGUUCAUUUUUGGGGCAGGAGCAAAGCAGAGCUGGCCCAUGCGUCGCCACAUAAUUCAAGGAAUAACAGAAGGCCUUCUCUACAUGCAUGACUACGNNNNNNNNNNGCAUGAGUGCAUAGUCCACAGAGACUUGAAACCAAGCAACAUCUUAUUAGAUCAUGAAAUGAAUCCAAAAAUUUCUGACUUUGGGAUCGCAAGGAUAUGCCUAUCCAAUGUGACGGAAUCAAAUACAACGACAGCUAUGGGAACAUUUGGAUACAUCGCGCCGGAAUACUGCUCCCAGAGUGUGUACUCAACAAGAUCAGACGUUUUCAGCUUCGGCAUCAUAGUUCUCGAGAUAAUAAGUGGGAAGAGGGCCAUCGGUUCCUACCAAUUAUCUGGAAGAUCAUACGAACUCAGGAAAUAUGCAUGGCAACUGUGGAGAGAGCAGAGGUGCGACGAGCUGGUGGAUGAUUCGCUAGGCGAGGAGUACCCUGAAAUGGACGUUAUGAGGUGCAUCCAGAUCGCGCUCUUGUGCGUCCAAGAUGUCGCGGAGGACAGGCCUACCAUGCACGACGUCAUGACGAUGCUGGGCAACGGAAACAAGAGGCUGCUCCUGCCUGCGCAGCCCGGUUCUUGCAGUAUACACAUCUUCACCGAUGCUGAAAUAGAGCUGUGA
rnacentral:rRNA from 1 species